GAUGAAGAACGUAGCGAAAUGCGAUAAGUAAUGUGAAUUGCAGAAUUCAGUGAAUCAUCGAAUCUUUGAACGCACAUUGCGCCCGCCAGUAUUCUGGCGGGCAUGCCUGUUCGAGCGUCAUUUCAACCAUCAAGCCCCAGGCUUGUGUUGGGGACCUGCGGCUGCCGCAGGCCCUGAAAACCAGUGGCGGGCUCGCUGUCACACCGGGCGUAGUAGAUUUUAUCUCGCUCAGGGCGUGCUGCGGGUUCCGGCCGUUAAAAAGCCUUUUUUACCCAAGGUUGACCUCGGAUCAGGUAGGAAGACCCGCUGAACUUAAGCAUAUCAAAAAGCGGAGGA
rnacentral:misc_RNA from 1 species